rfam:Salmo salar isolate Sally breed double haploid chromosome ssa16, whole genome shotgun sequence.
UGCGGUAACGCGACCGAUCCCGGAGAAGCUGGCAGGAGCCCCGGGGAGAGUUCUCUUUUCUUUGUGAAGGGCAUGGCAACCUGGAAUGGGUUCGCUACGAGAGGGGGCCCAAGCCCUGUAAAGCGUUGCAGUUCCGGCGGUGUCCGGUGAGCUCUCGCUGGCCCUUGAAAAUCUGGGGGA